rnacentral:tRNA from 1 species
GCCGGCCUAGCUCAAUUGGUAGAGCAACUGACUUGUAAUCAGUAGGUUGGGGGUUUCAAGUCCUCUGGCCGGCACCA